AUUGAACGCUGGCGGAAUGCUUUACACAUGCAAGUCGAACGGCAGCACGGACUUCGGUCUGGUGGCGAGUGGCGAACGGGUGAGUAAUAUAUCGGAACGUAUCCAAUAAUGGGGGAUAACUAAUCGAAAGGUUGGCUAAUACCGCAUACGUCCUACGGGAGAAAGCUAGGGACCUUCGGGCCUGGCGUUAAUGGAGCGGCCGAUAUCGGAUUAGCUAGUUGGUGAGGUAAAGGCUAACCAAGGCGACGAUCCGUAGCUGGUCUGAGAGGACGACCAGCCACACUGGAACUGAGACACGGUCCAGACUCCUACGGGAGGCAGCAGUGGGGAAUUUUGGACAAUGGGCGAAAGCCUGAUCCAGCCAUUCCGCGUGAGUGAAGAAGGCCUUCGGGUUGUAAAGCUCUGUCGCAAGAGAAGAAAACUUACCCUCUAACAUAGGGUGAGGUUGACGGUAUCUUGAUAAGAAGCACCGGCUAACUACGUGCCAACAGCCGCCGCAG
rnacentral:rRNA from 1 species